rnacentral:tRNA from 1 species
GGUAGCGUGGCCGAGCGGUCUAAGGCGCUGGUUUAAGGCACCAGUCUCUCCGCAGGCGUGGGUUCGAAUCCCACCGCUGCCA